rnacentral:rRNA from 1 species
UGGAAACGAACUGCUAAUACCGCAUAACGUAUCGGGAUGGCAUCUUCCUGAUACCAAAGAUUUUAUCGCUUAGAGAUGGGCUCGCGUCUGAUUAGAUAGUUGGCGGGGUAACGGCCCACCAAGUCGACGAUCAGUAGCCGGACUGAGAGGUUGAACGGCCACAUUGGGACUGAGACACGGCCCAGACUCCUACGGGAGGCAGCAUG